CUCAUUCUUUAAGAUGGCAGACCAAGAGUCAUGGCUUUUUCCCUAAUUUUUGAUCCCUGCCUCCCAAUUUUGCCCUCGAUUCAAUGGUGUUUCUCAUUGUGGUUCCUGAACGUAGAAAUUGAUAAGGCAAGGAUGAUCUUCACAUUUAAUUGGAAGAAACCCAAUCGCCCUUCCGUUUCUCCCUAGAGUUUCUAUUCCUCUCUUUCUUUGUAUUAGGGUAUAUAAGACCCAUACAACCCUUCAAGCAGUGGUGAUUCAGAUGGAAUCCCGGUCAAGCUCUUCUUCUGCCAACGGUCAUUGAGUAAUUGAAGACGAUCACGCAGUGAAGACAGAGAAUACCAUGAUUGCACAGUAUCGUAUCGUACCUGUUCCGUAGGUAUGCACAAAACUGGACACGAUGUUGUUUUGUAUUUUCGAUUUCACCUCAAAUUGUUGUUGAAGAAAUUAGAAGCCUCCAUUUUGGAAGGCUUAGGUAAACGAAGGUUCAAACCAUAUGUUAUCUUUGUAGAUUUGUUUUUCAGAUUGAUUAUUGUCCAAUUGACCUCUUAACUUAGUUUGUUGCUGGAGCAGUAAGUAUAAAACCUGUUUUUCCCUUGUUGUUGAAGGAAAUAGGAAGCAACCAUUUUGAAGGGUAAGACCACCAUCUACUUCUAAUCAGAUUGUUAAGGCAAUUUCAAAUACAUUAUACUGAUUUCAUGUUAAUUACCAUGUUCUCACUACACGUACGUGGUUACUCUUUCAAUGUGGUUUUACUUUGCAACUAGCAAUUUAUUAAUUCAUAUACAUAUAGAGAUUGUGUAUAAUAGAAAUUUUGCUACUGGGAAGAAAUUUUUAUAAAUGGUAGAACCUUCCAUUGUUGGCUUGCUUAGAAACAUUACCGAUUGAUUACCCGUUUCCCAAAAGCACCCGAUGGAUAGGAUAAAGUACUGGUUGAACUCAGCAUUGUUGACCAACUGCAGAGGCUAGGCUUAUCCGAGUAUUUUUCGGAUGAGAUUGCUUAUAUCCUGAGUAAAGUAUUCAGGUAAUAUAUCAUAUGUUAAAUGAAGUUAUAUCCACCAAAAUUUACUAAAAUAUGAGUUUAUCUGAAAAAGUUGUAUGAUAUUUUUUAUAUAUCUACAUCCUAUGAAUAGAUACUUCACCAUUCAAAUAAUGGAUGUUAAAUGAUCGUAAUGAGUUUAGCAAUUCCCGAAAAAGGAUUUAUUUUUUAUUGGAAGAAUUUUGCAGAUAGAGCAAACGUUAUAGUAGUUUAUCAAUUUAAAUAGAGAAUCUAAGCACCCUUUUCCAAGUUAGUUAUGUAUAAUCAGUUAUCAGGCGAUAUAUGUUGUUAAAUGCAUGAUAUCUUUCGGUUGUGCUCUUCUCAACAGUUACAAGGACGCUUAUAUGCAUGUUGAAAGAAUCGUUUUAAAAAGAAAAAAAAAAGGAUCAAAAUCUGUUUACCCCCUAUACAAUUCAUUUUAUGCUGCACUAGAUAUCAUGUAAUUUUGGUUAGAAAAACACUGGAAUAAGGUUCUUUCCACUUUACAAUAUUUGCAGAUCUAUUCUGGUACCUAUUAUUGUAAUGUGUUAAAAGUUUUAUAGUGCAAAAGAAUUAUGAAUUCCGCUAUGAGAAAUAACAAAAACUCGGGUUGCAAAGCAAAGCACUCAACUAGAACAGAAAGAAAGUGAGCUUAUUUACAAUUCGCCACGAAGAUUAGAUUAUGAUAUAAUGUUUAGGGUCUUCCCUUCAUUAGAUCUGUCUUUAGAGCUUAAAUCAUAGCCAGGGCCGGACCGAUGGUGCCAGGUCCCGUGAGGGCGGACCCUUACGGGGGUGGAAACCUGUAGCGAUAUUUUAAAAUACAAAGAAAUUAUGCUUUCAAAAUAUUUACACGUUUCACAAAUUGGUAGCAUUUUAGUGUUUGACUUUUCGCUUAGUUAAAUAGAGGUGUUACUAAAAGUCUAGAUUACCCUUCAUGGAAAGCUGGUCAAUAUCAUUUCAAAAGUCACUUUUUUUCUUUUUUAACAUGUUUGGAUGCUUACACUGAUGUUUGAGUUUUUCUAGGCAAGAAAAUUCUAUGGCAAUUCAAAACGCAUACCUCGAAUAUGUUAAGAUAUCUUCAAUCAUGGAGCAGGAUACAAGCACGGAUAAGAACCAUCAGGCUUGCUAUGGUGGAAGGCAAUGUGAUCAAGCAAAAGAAGGUUAAAAAUCAGCUGGCUUGAUAGGCCAGAAAAAAAAUCAGUUGACCAAAAAAAAGUCAAAGAUUUUGAGUUUCUUAAUAAUUUGAGUGAGGAAGCAAAAAAAACUUUCAAACAAAAAAGAGAGUAACCAUGGAUAUACCAAAUAAAAAAGAUAUGAAUUUGAAUGUUAUUUCUAUUGCUUGUACUAAUGCAAAAUUUAUUUGAUUUUAUUUUGAAAGAAAAUUUUAUAUACAUAUAAGAUAGAUGCUAUUUAGAUAAAAAAAUAUAUAAUAAAUAUAUUUAGUACUCAAAAGCUGCACUUUAUACCUUCUCAGCUAUGAAGCCUUUGUUGGAACCUAAUAAAACUUUGUAUACCUUAUCUUUUGAUAUGUGAAGCCUUUGUUAGCUUGAAAGCUACACUUCUUUGAUGGCAAAUAACUAAUUAUAAAUUCAAAAUUUUAAAAAUAGUUCUAUAUAUAAAUGAUUCAUACAAGUUCAAUCUGCACAAAAUUUUGGAUAAGUUUUGGUGUUAUAAUUUAAUAAUUUGGUUUUGAAUUGUUAAAGCAUUCGUGGGGAUUACUUCGUUAGUGUCACUGUGCAGUUUUACUUCGUUAGUGUCACUGUGCAGUUUUACCCACACCAAUAUUUUCGCCUUCUCGAGAGGUGUUAGUGGAUAUGGCGAAAGAAGAGUGGGGGGUAGACGGAUAUGGUUCGAUGAAAGGGUUGAGGCUUCGGUCUCCGGGAAAUGAAGCGGAUGCUGCUGAGGAUGAAGAAGAUGAAGGUGGAUCGAGUAAGAGUGAUGUGGAAGAACAUGUUGAGGUUGAGAGGAGGUUGGAUCAUGAUUUGAGUCGGUUUAUCCGAACUAUAGCGGUGCGGAUCAUAGCAGCUAUUUGUUGGAAAACCGAGUGGAUGAUCCAUAUCGCGCAACUUGAGGAAGAUAACUUGAUCUUGAAAGAUAGAUUGUUUUUGAUGGAAAGGGAGUUUGAUGAUUUGCAAAUGCGGUUGCAAUGUCUUGAAAGAGACUGUUGCAGUGUCUUCAAAGGGUAUCAACACAGAAAAUGUAGAUAUAAUUGAAGAAACUGACAUGAGGAUGGGGUAUCAGAACAGGUUAAGAAGAAUAUUGAAGAUUAUCAUCAGUUCCAUUGGAUAAAAGUGAAGAAAAUGCUAAUGAUGGUACUUCAAAGGAUGAAGAAAAUGCAGCAAAUGAGUAACAACUUUGAACUCAUAUCAAUCUAAAGGUAUAUGAUUUAAAAAGGUUCAUAUAAUCUGUUUUGCUGUUAAGUUUGUUGACGAAGCCUUCUAAAUUAAGGGAGAAUGCUUCUUUUUGUUUUUUAUUACAAUUGUCGCUUCUUACGUUUAUGUGAAGUGUAAACUAAAGACCUCUCUAAAUAUUUUGUUGUGCCAAAAUGUGUAUAGAACAUGGCAUGAUAUCAUUUAAACUUACCACGCCGUUAAGUGUGGGUGCUUUUAUAUACACACACAACUUAUAUA